rnacentral:rRNA from 1 species
AGUGAACGCUGGCGGUAGGCCUAACACAUGCAAGUCGAACGGCAGCACAGUAAGAGCUUGCUCUUACGGGUGGCGAGUGGCGGACGGUUGAGGAAUACAUCGGAAUCUACUUUUUCGUGGGGGAUAACGUAGGGAAACUUACGCUAAUACCGCAUACGACCUACGGGUGAAAGCAGGGGAUCUUCGGACCUUGCGCGAUUGAAUGAGCCGAUGUCGGAUUAGCUAGUUGGCGGGGUAAAGGCCCACCAAGGCGACGAUCCGUAGCUGGUCUGAGAGGAUGAUCAGCCACACUGGAACUGAGACACGGUCCAGACUCUUACGGGAGGAAGCAGUGGGGAAUAUUGGACAAUGGGCGCAAGCCUGAUCCAGCCAUACCGCGUGGGUGAAGAAGGCCUUCGGGUUGUAAAGCCCUUUUGUUGGGAAAGAAAAGCAGCAGGUUAAUACCCCGCUGUUAUGACGGUACCCAAAGAAUAAGCACCGGCUAACUUCGUG